AGAGAGGUGGCCGAGUGGUUUAUGGCACACGUCUUGAACGCGUGUUGGCGCUUACGUCUCAAGGGUUCGAAUCCCUUCCUCUUUG
rnacentral:tRNA from 1 species